rnacentral:rRNA from 1 species
AUUGAACGCUGGCGGCAGGCCUAACACAUGCAAGUCGAGCGAGCGGCGGAAGGGUGAGUAAUGUAUGGGGACUGCCCGAUAGAGGGGGGUAACUACUGGAAACGGGGGCUAAUACCGCACACUGUCGGAUAACCCAUAUGGGAUUAGCUAGUAGGUAAGGUAAUGGCUUACCUAGGCGACGAUCCCUAGCUGGUCUGAGAGGAUGAUCAGCCACACUGGGACUGGGACACGGCCCAGACUCCUACGGAGGCAGCAGUGGGGAAUAUUGCACAAGGGGCGCAAGCCUGAUGCAGCCAUGCCGCGUGUAUGAAGAAGGCCCUAGGGUUGUAAAGUACUUUCAGUCGGGAGGCGUUACCGACAGAAGAAGCACCGGCUAACUCCGUGCCAGCAGCCGCGGUAAUUC